rnacentral:rRNA from 1 species
CAUUUAUGGAUGCAUAUCUCGGGAACUGAGAAUAAUGCCCGAUAGAACAUUAUGCCUGGAAUGGUUUAUGUUUCAAAUGAUUUAUCGCCAUAGGAUGGGACUGCGGCCUAUCAGUUUGUUGGUGAGGUAAUGGCCCACCAAGACUAUUACAGGUACGGGCUCUGAGAGGAGUGGCCCGGAGAUGGGUACUGAGACGCGGACCCAGGCCCUAUGGGGCGCAGCAGGCGAGAAAACUUUGCAAUGUGCGAAAGCACGACAAGGUUAAUCCGAGUGGUUUCUGCUAAAGAAACCUUUUGCCAGUCCUAGAAACACUGGUGAAUAAGGGGUGGGCAAGUUCUGGUGUCAGCCGCCGCGGUAAAACCAGCACCUCAAGUGGUCAGGAUGAUUAUUGGGCCUAAAGCAUCCGUAGCUCGUUUUGUAAGUUUUCGGUUAAAUCCAUGCGCUUAACGUAUGGGCUGCCGGGAAUACUGCAUAACUAGGAAGUGGGAGAGGUAGACGGUACUCGGUAGGAAGGGGUAAAAUCCUUUGAUCUAUUGAUGACCACCUGUGGCGAAGGCGGUCUACCAGAACACGUUCGACGGUGAGGGAUGAAAGCUGGGGGAGCAAACCGGAUUAGAUACCCGGGUAGUCCCAGCUGUAAACUAUGCAAACUCAGUGAUGCAUUGGCUUGUGGCCAAUGCAGUGCUGCAAGGAAGCCGUUAAGUUUGCCGCCUGGGAAGUACGUACGCAAGUAUGAAACUUAAAGGAAUUGGCGGGGGAGCAC